UACGUAGGAUGCGAGCGUUGUCCGGAAUUAUUGGGCGUAAAGAGCUCGUAGGCGGUCUGUCGCGUCGGUCGUGAAAACUUGGGGCUUAACCCUGAGCUUGCGGUCGAUACGGGCAUGACUGGAGUUCGGCAGGGGAGACUGGAAUUCCUGGUGUAGCGGUGAAAUGCGUAGAUAUCGGGAAGAACAUCAGUGGCGAAGGCGGCUGCCUGGCCCAAUACUGACACUCAGGUGCGACAGCGUGGGGAGCGAACAGG
rnacentral:rRNA from 1 species